rnacentral:rRNA from 1 species
CUCCAUCUGGAGAAUCUGGAGACAGGUGCUGCAUGGCUGUCGUCAGCUCGUGUCGUGAGAUGUUGGGUUAAGUCCCGCAACGAGCGCAACCCUUGCCUUUAGUUGCCAGCAGUUCGGCUGGGCACUCUAAAGGGACUGCCGGUGUUAAACCGGAGGAAGGUGGGGAUGACGUCAAGUCCUCAUGGCCUUUAUGACCAGGGCUACACACGUACUACAAUGGCCGAUACAAAGGGCAGCGACACUGCGAGGUGAAGCCAAUCCCGUAAAAUCGGUCUCAGUCCGGAUUGGAGUCUGCAACUCGACUCCAUGAAGUUGGAAUCGCUAGUAAUCGUGAAUCAGAAUGUCACGGUGAAUACGUUCCCGGGCCUU